AUCGCAGAUUAUAAUUAUAUAUUGAUAAGGAAGUCUCCCUUCCAUAUGAACAAGUUCUAUAUAAAGGAAGACGAUGGGUACCUGCCUCAUCAGUUUCAUUCAUACUUUGAGCUUUUCACAUCGAUCAUGAAUGGAAUCCAAUUCUUCUGUCUGUUGGGCCUGAUGGUCGUCAGUUGUGCUGCUUACCCCUCCAAUUCUGUCGAUGAAAGGUAUCUUCCCGGGGCCCCUGUGGUAUUGACCGGGAGAGGCGAGGGAGAAGGCCAUUCAAGUUCUGUCCGUGGGACUGGCCCAACUGACCACAGGAGGUGGUCCCAGCUACAAACCUGUGAGUGUGUCUCAAGUGACGAGCCAAAUUGUUGAUGGAGUUAUCUAUACGUACAAAGCGGAAUUGGAGGUCGGAUCGGACAAGAAGGAGUGCACGGUCCAGAUCGUGCUCCAGCCAUGGCUCAAGGUGAACGAUAAUAGCAUCAAUGUUAAGUGUGAUGGCGAUAACGGUGUUGAUGAGCUAGUUCGCUAGCCGUUACUCUCUUAACUCUUUAAAUCAUUUUCUACUCGCAUAAUGAAUCGUUGUUCCAAUAAACAAAAUAUUUGCUCGCUUG